rnacentral:lncRNA from 12 species
CCUAAAUUUGACUUAAGUGUUGACUUACUCUAAAGAUAUUCCAGAGGAAGAGAAAAUGUGGAGUUUGUUUCACAAAGGUUUUGUAUCCUCUUCCCCUUUUGAGCGUAGGUGCAUUUCUUCACUUCCCUCAGUGCUAAGGCAGAUCAGCUUAUCUGUGAGCUAAUGCCAGGAAACUUGGACAGGAUCCUAAUCAGAGGAGCAGGAUGUUUAAUCUUGAGCACUGUGUUUACAGAAGAUUUGAUGGUGUAUGCCCUUAUUACCUACUCUAAUUUUAAUGAGCCUUUUGUUUUGGUUUUGUUUUUUCUUUCCUUUUUUUUUUUUUUUUUUUAAGGUUUCCACCCUGGAACUGUCUUCUAAGGCAAACUAUAACCAAUGGAAGAAAAACUUGUUUUUUCAACAUUUUGGGUUGGCUGGAUUAACUGGCUCUCAUUCAGAGGGAACUUGGCAGAUCUAUUUUGCUUUUGUUGAACCUCUCUACAGCACGUCAUAAAGAUUUCCUAGGUCCAGAAGGUGCAGAAGAGACAACUGAGCAGCAGAAAAAUGUGACUCUGAGAAGAGACUUCAAGCCUUCUGAUGAUGAAUUUUCUACUAAUCAGUUCUAAUUUAAGUGUAUAACUGAAGCAUGCAUAAAAGUUAACCUGAUAGGGAAAAACACCUUCUCAUUAAUUAGAACUGCAAAAAAAAAAAAAAAAAAAAAAAAAAAAAAACCCCCCCCCCCCCCCCCCCCCCCCCCCCCCCCCCCCCCCCCCCCCCCCCCCCCC